rnacentral:rRNA from 1 species
UACGUAGGCAGCGAGCGUUGUUCGGAGUUACUGGGCGUAAAGCGUGCGUAGGCGGCUGUCUAAGUUUGGUGUGAAAUCUCCUGGCUUAACUGGGAGGGUGCGCCGAAAACUGGGUGACUGGAGUGUCGGAGAGGUAAGCGGAAUUCCUGGUGUAGCGGUGAAAUGCGUAGAGAUCAGGAGGAACACCUGUGGUGUAGACAGCUUACUGGACGAUAACUGACGCUGAGGCACGAAAGCGUGGGUAGCAAACAGG